rnacentral:rRNA from 1 species
GACGAACGCUGGCGGCGUGCUUAACACAUGCAAGUCGAACGGUAAGGCCCUUCGGGGUACACGAGUGGCGAACGGGUGAGUAACACGUGGGUGAUCUGCCCUGCACUUCGGGAUAAGCCUGGGAAACUGGGUCUAAUACCGGAUAGGACCACUGCCUGCAUGGGUGGUGGUGGAAAGCUUUUGCGGUGUGGGAUGGGCCCGCGGCCUAUCAGCUUGUUGGUGGGGUGAUGGCCUACCAAGGCGACGACGGGUAGCCGGCCUGAGAGGGUGACCGGCCACACUGGGACUGAGAUGCGGCCCAGACUCCUACGGGAGGCAGCAGUGGGGAAUAUUGCACAAUGGGCGCAAGCCUGAUGCAGCGACGCCGCGUGAGGGAUGACGGCCUUCGGGUUGUAAACCUCUUCCAGCACCGACGAAGCGCAAGUGACGGUAGGUGCAGAAGAAGGACCGGCCAACUACGUGCCAGCCGCCGCGGUAA